CAUUACAGAUAGAUAUUGGGUCUGAAAAAACUCAGAGAUUGAUGUGUUGUCAUCAGCUUCUUCUCUUGUAUUUCAAAGAGUGUGGAGUUAAAUAACAGCACUACAAUU
rfam:Citrus clementina cultivar Clemenules unplaced genomic scaffold scaffold_2, whole genome shotgun sequence.